rnacentral:misc_RNA from 1 species
AGAUAACUGAUUUCAUCUUGUAGCAUCCCAUAACUAGAUCCAUAUCAGGGGACCUUAACACCUUAGAUUCGAAAUUCAGAGGAAACUAAAAACUUCAUCAUAUUUAGAAAAAACACACCAUAACAAAAGCUAGUUGUAUAACAAGCAUCUUGUUUUAUAUGAAAUGAACUAAAACACAGGUGUAAAAAGUCAGAAACUGGAUGUGCAUAAAUCAAAAGAGAGGGAUGCGAUUGGCGAGGACUCACCAUUUUCUUGAAUGUAAA